rnacentral:rRNA from 1 species
AACGUUUAAGACUAAGACGUUGAUAGGCUGGGUGUGUAAGCGUAGCGAUACGUUGAGCUAACCAGUACUAAUGAACCGUGAGGCUUAACCUG